rnacentral:rRNA from 1 species
GAUGAACGCUGGCGGCGUGCCUAAUACAUGCAAGUCGAGCGAACGGACGAGAAGCUUGCUUCUCUGAUGUUAGCGGCGGACGGGUGAGUAACACGUGGAUAACCUACCUAUAAGACUGGGAUAACUUCGGGAAACCGUAGCUAAUACCGGAUAAUAUUUUGAACCGCAUGGUUCAAAGGUGAAAGACGGUCUUGCUGUCACUUAUAGAUGGAUCCGCGCUGCAUUAGCUAGUUGGUAAGGUAACGGCUUACCAAGGCAACGAUGCAUAGCCGACCUGAGAGAGUGAUCGGCCACACGGGAACUGAGACACGGUCCAGACUCCUACGGGAGGCAGCAGUAGCGAAUCUUCCGCAAUGGGCGAAAGCCUGACGGAGCAACGCCGCGUGAGUGAUGAAGGUCUUCGGAUCGUAAAACUCUGUUAUUAGGGAAGAACAUAUGUGUAAGUAACUGUGCACAUCUUGACGGUACCUAAUCAGAAAGCCACGGCUAACUACGUG